rnacentral:rRNA from 1 species
UACGUAGGGGGCAAGCGUUGUCCGGAAUUAUUGGGCGUAAAGAGCGUGUAGGCGGUCCGGUAAGUCAGCUGUGAAAGUCAAGGGCUCAACCCUUGAAAGCCGGUUGAUACUGUCGGGCUAGAGUCCGGAAGAGGCGAGUGGAAUUCCCGGUGUAGCGGUGAAAUGCGCAGAUAUCGGGAGGAACACCAAUGGCGAAGGCAGCUCGCUGGGACGGUACUGACGCUGAUGCGCGAAGGCCAGGGGAGCGAACGGG